rnacentral:rRNA from 1 species
AUUGAACGCUGGCGGCAGGCCUAACACAUGCAAGUCGAGCGGAGCGGCGGACGGGUGCGUAAUGCCUAGGAAUCUGCCUGGUCGCUGUGGCUAACGUCCGGAACCGGGCGCUAAUACCGCAUCCUCUCAGAUGAGCCUCGGUCGGAUUAGCUAGUGGGUGGGGUAAAGGCCUACCAAGGCCACGAUCCGUACCUGUUCUGAGAGGAUGAUCAGUCACACUGGAACGGAGACACGGUCCAGACUCCUACGGGAGGCAGCAGUGGGGAAUAUUGGACAAUGGGCGAAAGCCUGAUCCAGCCAUGCCGCGUGUGUGAAGAAGGUCUUCGGAUUGUAAAGCACUUUAAGUUGGGAGGCGGUACCAACAGAAUAAGCACCGGCUAACUACGUGCCAGCAGCCGCGGUAAUUC